UACGUAGGGGGCGAGCGUUGUCCGGAUUUAUUGGGCGUAAAGAGCGUGUACGCGGCCAGGUAGGUCUGCUGUGAAAACUCGAGGCUCAACCUCGAGACGUCGGCGGAAACCAUCUGGCUAGAGUCCGGAAGAGGAGAGUGGAAUUCCUGGUGUAGCGGUGAAAUGCGCAGAUAUCAGGAAGAACACCCGUGGCGAAGGCGGCUCUCUGGGACGGUACUGACGCUGAGAUACGAAAGCGUGGGGAGCAAACAGG
rnacentral:rRNA from 1 species